rnacentral:tRNA from 4 species
CGGGGUAUAGCGCAGCCUGGUAGCGCAUCUGCCUGGGGGGCAGAGGGUCGUCGGUUCGAAUCCGGCUACCCCGACCA